rnacentral:rRNA from 1 species
GAUGAACGCUGGCGGCAUGCCUAAUACAUGCAAGUCGAACGAGAGGAAGGAAAGCUUGCUUUCCUGAAUCUAGUGGCGAACGGGUGAGUAACACGUAGGUAACCUGCCCAUGUGCCCGGGAUAACUUCUGGAAACGGAUGCUAAAACCGGAUAGGUAGCAGACAAGCAUUUGACUGCUAUUAAAGUGGCCUUGGCCAUGAACAUGGAUGGACCUGCGGUGCAUUAGCUAGUUGGUGAGGUAACGGCCCACCAAGGCGACGAUGCAUAGCCGGCCUGAGAGGCCGGACGGCCACAUUGGGACUGAGACCCGGCCCAAACUCCUACGGGAGGCAGCAGUAGGGAAUUUUCGUCAAUGGGGGGAACCCUGAACGAGCAAUGCCGCGUGAGUGAGGAAGGUCUUCGGAUCGUAAAGCUCUGUUGUAAGAGAAAAACGGCACUCAUAGGGAAUGAUGAGUGAGUGAUGGUAUCUUACCAGAAAGUCACGGCUAACUACGUGCCAGCCGCCGCCGUAACAC